rnacentral:rRNA from 1 species
GAGCGAACGCUGGCGGCGUGCCUAACACAUGCAAGUCGAACGGUUCUGUUGGGGGCUUGCUCUCGACAGAGUAGUGGCAAACGGGUGAGUAACACGUGGGUAAUCUUCCUUCGAGUGAGGAAUAACUUCGGGAAACCGGAGCUAAUACCGCAUAACAUCUUGGAACGGCAGUUUCAAGAUCAAAGGGGGCGCAAGCUCCCGCUUGAAGUUGAGCUCGCGUCCUAUCAGCUAGUUGGUGAGGUAAUGGCUCACCAAGGCUCCGACGGGUAGCCGGCCUGAGAGGGUGGCCGGCCACACUGGGACUGAGACACGGCCCAGACUCCUACGGGAGGCAGCAGUGGGGAAUAUUGCGCAAUGGACGAAAGUCUGACGCAGCGACGCCGCGUGGGUGAUGAAGGCCUUCGGGUCGUAAAGCCCUGUUGAGGGAGAGAAAGCUACUGUCGGUUAAUACCCGGCAGUGGUGAUAGUAUCCCUAGAGAAAGCACCGGCUAACUACGUG